AUUGAACGCUGGCGGAAGGCCUAACACAUGCAAGUCGAACGAGUGGCGGACGGGUGAGUAAUGUCUGGGAAACUACCCGAUGGAGGGGGAUAACUACUGGAAACGGUAGCUAAUACCGCAUCCCAUCGGAUGUGCCAAGAUGGGAUUAGCUAGUAGGUGGGGUAACGGCUCACCUGGGCGACGAUCCCUAGCUGGUCUGAGAGGAUGACGAGCCACACUGGAACUGAGAAACGGUACAGACUCAUAGGGGAGGCAGCAGUGGGGAAUAGUGCACAAGGGGCGCAAGACUGAUGAAGACAUGCCGAGUGUAUGAAGAAGGCCUUCGGGUUGUAAAGUACUUUCAGCGAGGAGGCGUUACUCGCAGAAGAAGCACCGGCUAACUCCGUGCCAGCAGCCGCGGUAAUUC
rnacentral:rRNA from 1 species